CAGACUCUCCCUUCAGGACGGCUGAUUCACCGAACCAGCUUUUGUGUGGUUCCUCACUGCUGGGACACGGCAAGUGUGGUUAAUUCCAUGCUGUCUGUUUGAGCUUCCCUCUCUGGGAGAACAUGUCUGCUGAUGUCAGUAGGCUCUGGGAUAUACCCAGAGAGAGUAUCCGGCCAAUUACCCCACUCUUUGGAGCCGUCCCGGUCGCUGCUCCACCCCCUCUGCCGAUCCGGGGCCUCUUCGAUAACACGUGGAGUCGCCAGCUGCUUCUUUUCACCUGACAGUGAAGAGUUUCGCCAGGGGGACGUGGGAGGAUCACGCUAUUCCCCC